GGCUCGGUCGCGGGUGGUCCGCGUCUGCACAAUAUUAAUAUUGGUUGGUGAGGUGUUCAGCAGAAAUCGCCUGUUCGAUUCGGGCCCGAGCCA